GACGUAGGGCGCGAGCGUUGUCCGGAUUUAUUGGGCGUAAAGAGCUCGUAGGCGGCUUGUCGCGUCGACUGUGAAAACCCGCGGCUCAACCGCGGGCCUGCAGUCGAUACGGGCAGGCUAGAGUUCGGUAGGGGAGACUGGAAUUCCUGGUGUAGCGGUGAAAUGCUUAGAUAUGACACAGAACACCGAUUGCGAAGGCAGCUCACUAAGCUGUAACUGACACUGAGGCACGAAAGCGUGGGGAGCAAACAGG
rnacentral:rRNA from 1 species